rnacentral:rRNA from 1 species
GUUCAAGCGAAAUAAGGGCAUUUGGUGGAUGCCUUGGCACUGAGAGGCGAUGAAGGACGUAGCACGUUGCGAUAAGCCCCGGGGAGUUGCGAGCAGACUUUGAUCCGGGGAUUUCCGAAUGGGGCAACCCACCGCUUCGGCGGUAUCGCAGGGUAAAUACAUAGCCCUGCGAGGCAAACCCGGCGAACUGAAACAUCUAAGUAGCCGGAGGAAAGGACAUCAACCGAGACUCCGCUAGUAGUGGCGAGCGAACGCGGACCAGGCCAGUGGCCUG